GACGAACGCUGGCGGCGUGCCUAAUACAUGCAAGUAGAACGCUGAAGAGAGGAGCUUACUCUUCUUGGAUGAGUUGCGAACGGGUGAGUAACGCGUAGGUAACCUGCCUUGUAGCGGUGGAUAACUAUUGGAGACGAUAGCUAAUACCGCAUAACAAUGGAUGACACAUGUCAUUUAUUUGAAAGGGGCAAUUGCUCCACUACAAGAUGGACCUGCGUUGUAUUAGCUAGUAGGUGAGGUAAUGGCUCACCUAGGCGACGAUACAUAGCCGACCUGAGAGGGUGAUCGGCCACACUGGGAAUGAGACACGGCCCAGACUCCUACGGGAGGCAGCAGUAGGGAAGCUUCGGCAAUGGGGGCAACCCUGACCGAGCAACGCCGCGGGAGUGAAGAAGGUUUUCGGGUCGUAAAGCUCGGUUGUAAGUCAAGAACGGGUGUGAGAGUGGAAAGUUCACGCUGUGACGGUAGCUUACCAGAAAGGGACGGCUAACUACGUG
rnacentral:rRNA from 1 species